rnacentral:tRNA from 1 species
GCGGGUGUAGUUCAGUGGUAGAACGUCAGCCUUCCAAGCUGAAUGUCGUCGGUUCGAGCCCGAUCGCCCGCU